CCUUUUUGAUCCUGCCAGUAGCAUAUGCUUGUCUCAAAGAUUAAGCCAUGCACAUGUAAGUACACACGGCCGGUACAGUGACUGCGAAUGGCUCAUUAAAUCAGUUUGGUUCCUUUGAUCGCUCCAUCUGUUACUUGGAUAACUGUGGUAAUUCUAAAGCUAAUAUAUGCAGACGAGCGCGACCUUCCAGGAUGCGUGUAUUUAUCAGACCAAGACUAAACCAGGCUCGGCAGACCCUUUGGUGACGAUAGAUAACCUAGGGCUGAUCGCACAUCCCAUGAUGGCGACGAUGCAUUCGGAUGUGUGCCCUAUCAACUUUCGAUGGUACUUUCUGUGCCUACCAUGACGACGAUGGGUUAAGGGCAAUCAUUGUUCGAUUCUGGAGAGGAAGCCUGAGAAACAGCUACCACACCCAAGGAAGGCAGAAGGCGCGCAAAUUACUCACUCCGACUGCGGGAGGUAGUGACGAAAAAUAACAAUACAGGACUCUUUCGAGGCACUGUAAUUGGAAUGAGUACACUUUUAAAUCCUUUAACGAGUACCUAUUGGAUGGCAAGUCUGAUGCCAGCAGCCACAGAAAUUCCAGCUCCAAUAGCAUAUAUUAAAGUUGCUGCAGUUAAAAAGCUUGUAGUUGCAUCUUGGGAUCGAGCUGGUGGUCUGCUGCGAGGUGAGCUACCACCUGUCCCAGGCCCUGCCCCUUGGCAUCUCCUUUAAGCUCUUGCCUGAGUGUCCUGGGGGUCAGAAGCGUUUACUAUGAAAAAAUGUGAGUGUUCAAAGCAGGUUGGUCGCCUGAAUACUUCAGCUAGGUAUAACGGAAUAGGAUCCGGUUCUAUUUUGUUGGUUUUCGGGUCUGGGACCAUGAGACGGCCGGGGGCACUCGUAUUAUGCUACAGGUGACAUUAUUGGACCGGUGCAGGAUGAACCAACGCGAAAGCAUUAGCCAAGAAUGUUUUCAUUAACCAAGAACUAAAGUCUGAGGUUCGAAGAUGAUCUGAUACCAUUGUAGCUCUGACCAUAAACUAUGCAGACUAGCGAUCUGGGGGCAUUUUUUCCCAUGACCUCCAAACAGCUUCUGUGAAACCAAAGUCUUUGGGUUCCGGGAGAGUAUGGUUGCAAAGCUGAAACUUAAAGGAAUUGACGGAAAGGCAACACCAGGAAACGUCACCUGGCCCGGACACAGAAAGGAUUGACCGAUUGAUGGUUAUUUCUCGAUUCUGUGGGUGGUGGUGCAUGGCCGUUCUUAGUUGGUGGAGCGAUUUUGUCUGGUUAAUUCCGAUAACGAACUAGACUCCUCCAUGCUAACUAGUUAUGCGACUCCCACCCCCCAGCGUUCAGCAUUCAACUUCUUAGAGUGACUAGUGGCAUUUAGCCACACGAGAUUGAUCAAUAACAGGUCUGUGAUGCCUUUAGAUGUCCGGGGCUGCACGCGCGCUACACUGAACCGAUCAUUGUUUGUCUACCCUUCGCAGACAGGUGUGCAGCUAACCCGAUGAACCUUGUCCGUGAUAUGGAUUGGGGAUAGCAAUUAUUUCCCAUGAACAAGGAAUUUCCAGUAAGUGCGGAUCAUAAUCUUGCGUUGAUUAAGUCCCUGCCCUUUGUACACACACUGCCCGUUGCUACUACAGAUUGGAUGGUUUAGUGAGGUCCUUGGAUGUCCCUGCCGGGGUCCGCAACAGCCCUGGCGGAGCGGCGAGAAGACUAUCAAACUUGACUAUCUAGAGAAAGUAAGUGGUACAGGUUGGGUUAGCCUGCCCGGGACACC
rnacentral:rRNA from 1 species